UACGAGAGGCUCGAGCGUUAAUUGGUAUCACUGGGCUUAAAGCAUGCGCAGGCGGUCCAGCUAGCGUCUUGUGAAAUCACCCGGCUCCACCGAGGAAGUGCAGGGCGAACUGCUGGACUUGAGGCAGGUAGGGGCUGAUGGAACCAUGAGUGGAGCGGUGAAAUGCGUAGAUAUUCAUUGGAACGCCGAUGGGGAGGCCGAUCAGCUGGGCCUGUCCUGACGUUCAGGCACGAAAGCGUAGGGAGCAACCAGG
rnacentral:rRNA from 1 species